rnacentral:rRNA from 1 species
AGAUUGAACGCUGGCGGCAUGCCUUACACAUGCAAGUCGAACGGCAGCACGGGAGCAAUCCUGGUGGCGAGUGGCGAACGGGUGAGUAAUAUAUCGGAACGUGCCCAGUCGUGGGGGAUAACGCAGCGAAAGCUGUGCUAAUACCGCAUACGAUCUAUGGAUGAAAGCGGGGGAUCGGCAAGACCUCGCGCGAUUGGAGCGGCCGAUAUCAGAUUAGCUAGUUGGUGGGGUAAAAGCCUACCAAGGCGACGAUCUGUAGCUGGUCUGAGAGGACGACCAGCCACACUGGAACUGAGACACGGUCCAGACUCCUACGGGAGCAGCAGUGGGGAAUUUUGGACAAGUGGGCGCAAGCCUGGAUCCAGCAAUGCC